CUGAUUUUAAAUUAACAUAUCCUUCCAUAUAUAAGGAAAAUGUUAAACUGAAAAUAUAUCUGAUAGCUAUUAUUAUCUAAUUCAUAUUGAGUGAUUUAAUCUAAUUUAACAUAGCAACUUCUAAAGGUAAGUAAGAAUUUUUUAAAUUUUUACCAACUAUCAUAGUCUUACAGCCUCUGUUUUAAAGGUGUUUAAAUAUACAGUAUUUUUGUAUUCAACUUCUCAUAGUUGAAGAGAUUUCUCAUAGAAAUAGUGAAAUGAAGCCAGAUGAUGUUGUGUACACCUGUAAUCCAAGCUUCCUGGGAGGCUGAGGCAGGAGGACCACAAAUUUGAGGGCAUCCUAGGCAAUUCAGCAAAACCAUAUUUCAAAAAAGGAUGUAAAAUGGUUAAGUGCCCUGGAUUCAAUCCCUUUAAACCCUUCCCCACACAUACACAUACACACGAAGAUGAUUAUAAGAAUAAUUAUUUUUUCCAGCAACUCAGGAGGCUGAGACAGGAGGAUCACCUCAGCAAUAGCGAGGUGCUAAGAAACAAACUGAGACCCAGUCCUAUUUAGAGACCCUGUCUCUAAAUAACAUACAAAAUAGGGCUGCGGGUGCAGCUCACUGGUCUAAUGCUCCUGAGUUCAAUCCCCAGUACAAAAAAAAAAAAAGAAGAAGAAGAAGAAGAAUCGGGCUGGGGAUGUAGCUCAAGCAGUAGUGCGCUUGCCUGGCAUGCGUGCAGCCCGGGUUCGAUCCUCAGCACCACAUACAAACAAAGAUGUUGUGUCCGCCGAAAACUAAAAAAUAAAUAUUAAAAUUCUCUCUCUAAAAAAAAAAAAAAAAGAAGAAGAAUUUUGAAAAUUCAAGCUGGGCAAGGUGGCACACAUCUGUAAUCCCAGCAGCUAGAGAGGCUGAGGCAGGAGGAACACAAGUUGGAGGCCAGCCUGGGCAUUUUAGCAAAACCCUGUUUCAAAAAAGGCUGUAACCCAGUGGUAAAGUGCCCCUGGAUUCAAUCCCUGUAACCCUCCCAACACACACACACACAAGAAGAUGAUAAGAAUAAUUUUGAAAAUUCAAGAUGGGAAUGCUGGCACAUACCUGUUAAUCCCAGCAGCUAGGGAGACUGAGGCAGGAGGAUCAUGAGUUCAAAGCCAGUCUCAGCAACUUAGCAAGACCCUGUCUCUAAAUAAAAUAUGAAAUAGGGUUGGGAAUGUAGUUAAGUGCCUGGGUUCAAUUUCUGGUACAAAAAAAAAAAAAAAAAGUUCACUGUUUUGUUUUUUGCAGUACUGGGAUUGAAUCCAGGGGCAUGUUACUACUGAGCCAUAUCCCCACAGCCCUUUUUAUUUUUAAAUUUGAUACAAUGUCACUAAAUUGCCGAGGCUGACCUCAAACUUGGAAUCCUCCUGCCUCACCUUCCUGAGUGACUGGGAUUACAGGAAUGUGCCAGUACCAGCAAUAAUCUGAUUCUGUUACUUAUUUCUAUUAGGGGGAAAAUGCUUUAAUAUAGAAAAGUUUUAAAGAAAUAACUUGGAAUUAGGAUUCAUUAAAGAAUUGAGAAUAAUAUGCAAAAGAAGUGAAAAAAGUUCCAUUAGAUUGAUUCUAGACAUAAGUUAUUUUCUGUUAGUUGUCCUCUUUUAAAGUCUUAGUUACUUUCAUUGCUUCUCAUUCAGUAAUGUGUGUACAGCUGUUCAACUCAUCUAACAAGUCACUUCGUUCAGAGGCACUUUUCUUGUCUCUUCAAUGUCAUUUUAUUAAGAUAGCGUGUAUGAAAAGUCAGUGGCUUAGAAGCUAUGAAAAUAAAGAGUAUAAACAGUUCUAAUGCAGUACAAUAAAAGUCAUUUAUGAGUAUUAUGCUAAAGAAAUAUUUAGAUAGCUUGAUAACUCUUCCAAGGGAAUGAGAAUGUAAAUAGAAGGUAACACUGUUCCUAUCCCAAAGAAGUUAAGUAUGACCAUGUUCAAAUACUUGAAAAUUAUUUCUGCUGUUGGUUAGUUGUGAGGCCCUUUGCAAGAAAAUUUCUUUCUCUAAUCCUAUAUUUUCCAGUGAGAGACUGAACUUGACUGUCAUGUCCCAAGUUUUUAUAAUCCUAGAAGAGAAUCAACCUCCUCUAGUAUAUCAGUUUUGCAAAUAGUACACUGACAUGAUUUACAAAAGCAAAGGAGAGCCAGGUGCUGUGGCGCACACCUACAAUCCCAGUGGCUAGGGAGGUUGAGGUAGGAGGAUUGCCAGUUCAAUUUAGUGAGGCCUAAGCAACUUAGCAACACCCUGUCUUAAAAUAAAAUGUAAAAAGGGAUGGGUAUGGGGCUCAGUGAUUAAGUACCCCUAGGUUCAAUCCCUGGCACUAAAAAAGGGGAAAGUGAAAUCUUAUAUUUGGAAAAUUCAGUAUUACAAUAAAAUUAUGGAAAUUAUAUUUAAGUUGUCCAUUAAAGAAGAAAAAUCUACAUUUGUUUUUCUUACCCUUUGUCAUGUUGACACCUUGACUUCAUGACCAGGUUUCCUUAACAAAAAGGAAAACUUCCCCCACUAGAAUUUGGAGAGGCAACAUAAUAUGAAAAAAUAGUAAGAAAUAAACAUUUGAAAAUUUUGUCAAACAAAUCAUAUAAUUGAAGAAAUGUGGCGUACUGAAUAAUUUAGUUAAGUUUAAAAUCAAUAUUCAAUUUUCUAAAACAAUAAAAAUUGCAAUAUUUUAGUAUAUUUUCUUAAGCAGUAUGCUAAAUAUCAAUAAACCUUAUAAAGAUCUUAUCAAGUCUUGUGAAGUAUUAUGUAAUAUGCUAUAGACAUAGGAGUUUAAAAAUUGUGCUAAAUGUGUUUUAAGCUCGGUAGUGCCAAGGGUGUUUAACAUGUUUUUCUUUCUUCCGUGAUGCUAGAGAUUGAACCAUUGCUUCAUGUAUCCUACACAAGCACUGUACCACUGAGCUAAAUCCCAUCCCGCAUUUUUUUGUUAAAAUAUACUUUUAAAAAAAUGUAGAAUGCAAGUUACUAGGCCAGGCUGGGCAACUUGGUAAGACCCUGUCUCAAAAAAAGAAAUGGGGCUUGGGGUGUGGCUCAGUGGUAGAGUGCUGCUAUGUUCAAUAUCAAAUACUGGGGAAAAAAAUGCAAGUGACUAAUUCAGGUUAACUAUUGAUUCAAUUUGAAGAAUUCCAGCCUUUAUCAAGCCAAAUUUCACUUUACUCCAAAGUGAGUGAAAUUAUAUUGUAUUCAUAAUUUCACUGCUUAUUUGGAAGAUAUAUACUUUAAAGGAUUCAAAUUAUAACCCUUUUCAAUUAUAACUUAUUGGUUGUAAGCAAUAAAUUUCUUCUAUCAGAAAUGGUUUGAGUCAGGGAGGAUUGGGUUAUCAAGAAAAACUACUGAGCAGUGUACAAUGCCAAUGCCUCUAAUCCCAGGAACUCUGGAAGCUAAGUAAGGAAGAACACAAAUUUAAGCCAGCAAGGGUGACUUGACAAGACCCAAGACCCUGUCUCAAAAAGGGCUGGGGAUGCUGGGGUUGUAGCUCAGAGAUAGAGUGCUUGCCUUGCAUGUGUGAGGCACUGAGCUUCAUCCUCAGUACCACAAAAAGAUAAAUAAAUAAAAUAAAGAUAUUUUGUCCAUCUACAACUAUAUACAUUGUGUGUGUGUGUGUGUGUAUAU
rnacentral:lncRNA from 1 species